rnacentral:rRNA from 1 species
CUUCUUGAAUUAAUAUGAAGUCGUGCCUGCCCACUGAUGAAUUAAAUGGCCGCGGUAUAUCUGACCGUGCAAAGGUAGCAUAAUCAUUAGUCUUUUAAUUGGAGGCUGGAAUGAAUGGUUUGACGAAACAUGAACUGUCUCGGGUUAAUUUAUUGAAUUUUAUUUUUGAGUUAAAAAGCUCAAAUUAUGAUAGGGGACGAGAAGACCCUAUAGAUCUUGAAAUGAUGUAUUAGUGAUUUUUAUUUAGUUGUAUGAAUGAUGAUUAUUAUAUUAUUUUUGGUUGGGGUGACGAGAGAAUAUAAAAACUUCUUUUAACUGUACUGUGAUAUCUGGAUUUAGGAUCCUGUAAUAUGGAAUUAAGAUAAAGAUACCUUAGGGAUAACAGCGUAAUUUUAUUGGAGAGUUCAUAUUGAUAAUAAAGAUUGCGACCUCGAUGUUGGAUUAAGAAUAUAAUUGGGUGCAGAAGUUCAAUUUAUUGGUCUGUUC